CAAAGCCUAAAGGCUAGAGCCAGAGCUGCCCCACCAGUCGCCUAGCAGGUCCUCUACCGGCUAAUUCCUGUCCUGGAGCUUCAUUGGCACAGCGGCCAGCGAGACGUUCCAGCCUCCCUGUUUCUUCCUCCGCUUUCUCUUCCCUCUGGUUUAGUUUGCUGGGAGCGCAAAAGGAGAAAGCACAGAGCCGCCCCAAACCCGUUUUGCUUCUGCCCAUCACAAGUGCCACUACCACCAUGGGCUUCCCUGUCUCCUCCCAUUUCUCCCGCCUCUUUGGCAAGAAGCAGAUGUGCAUUUUGAUGGUUGGAUUGGAUGCUGCUGGCAAGACAACCAUUUUGUAUAAACUGAAGUUAGGGGAGAUAGUCACCACCAUUCCUACCAUUGGUUUUAACAUGGAAACAGUAGAAUAUAAGAACAUUUGUUUCACAGUAUGGGAUGUUGGUGGUCAAGAUAGAAUUAGGCCUCCUCUGGAAGCAUUACUUCCGGAAUACCCAGAGUCUUAUUUUUGUGGUAGAUAGCAAUGAUCGUGAAAGAAUUCAGGAAGUAGCAGAUGAGCUGCAGAAAAUGCCUCUGGUAGAUGAGCUGAUAGAUGCAGUGCUGCUGCUUUUUGCAAACAAAGAGGAUUUGCCAAAUGCUAUGGCCAUCAGUGAAAUGACAGAUAAACUAGAUCUUCAGUCUCUUCGUAACAGAACAUGGUAUGUUCAAGCCACUUGUGCAACACAAGGAGCUGGCCUGUAUGAAGGACUUGACUGGCUGUCAAAUGAGUUUUCAAAACGUUAAAUGAAACUGGAUAACUAACCAAGGACAUGUUCGAUAAAAUUGGUCUAGGCUUGUUACAACAAAAUUAGUUUGUAUCUUGGGUUAUUAAACAGUAUCUGGGAAAAAAAAUCUUACUGAAGAAAGGAAAUAUAGGCAAGGAUGUGUUAAAUUAGAAUACCUUUGUCUUUAUCCCUUGAGCAAUUUUCUUUUUUGAUAAAUUCAAUAUUUAUUACUCUUAAAAAUUCUUACAACCUAGCAACAGAAAAGAAUUUUAUUAUUUUAUUUUAUUUUAUUUAUUUUUUUCCCAUUUAUUUUAUUGCAUUUUAGGUUUUGGGGUACAUGUGAAGAACAUGCAAGAUUGUUGCAUAGGUACACACGUGGCAGUGUGAUUUGCUGCCUCCUUGAGCAAUUUUCUACAAUAUUAUAUAGAUCAUCUUUACCCAAACUUAUGGUCUCAGUACCUCUUUAUACUCUUAACAAAUUAUUGAAGACCCCAGAUAACAUUUUU